AAAAGGCUCUCCCAUUGCUUUAUAGUCAUAUCCUGAGAUACAACCUGGGUCAUUCUUCUUAUUUAUUAAUAGUUACAGUGAAUGUAAUUUUAAGGUUAUAUCUCUUUGAAGGAUAAGGACUCUUGAUAAAUUCUGGCAUAGUUUUUAAGUCAGUCUCUGUAUUUAGUAGUCAUACUUGGUAUAUAGUCAGUUUUAUCUUAUUCUCACCUCCAAAUGUAAGUACACUGGGACAUGAAUUUCUGUAUUCCACUAUAUUUAUUAGGUGUUCUAGAAUAAUUGUUUUUAUAUGUGGGGCAUAUAGGCUGCCUGCAUAUGUUUGGGAAGGGCUUUCUCAACCAAUUUAAUAGGCUAGCCUAAUUUUUGACCGUAUGGAAAAAUUUUUAUAAUACUGUUGCUUAUCUGUAUGAACAAUAUUCAUUAUUCCUUGUUUUUCUUUUUUAGUGAGCAUCACCAGUUUUAUCCCACGUUUCAACUUUCUAAGCAUAGAUCUGCCUGUGGUUGUGGAGACAUUUGUCAAGUACCUGAUUUCCCUCUCAGGAGCUCUAGCUAUUGUUAAUGCAGUGCCCUGCUUUGCUUUGGAUGGUCAGUGGAUUUUAAACUCUUUCCUAGAUGCUACCCUUACCUCAGUGAUUGGAGACAAUGAUAUCAAAGAUCUGAUAGGAUUUUUCAUCUUGCUCGGUGGUAGUGUACUUUUGGCUGCCAACGUGACCCUGGGACUCUGGAUGGUUACAGCACGGUAAUAUUUGCACUCAUCUUGCAGAAUGAUACUUCAUAUGAAAUAGAAAGCAUUUCCUUAAAAUUACAUUUUAACCAACGACUUUAAGCUCCUCCUGUAUCAGAAUAUCCAAACUCUGGGAUGGGGGAUAAACAGAAGAAAUGAAAGGCAUAGUCUCUGACUACAUCCAACUUUUAAAGACUGAACUUAACAAACUUCAGAUGCUUGUGGAACAAUUUCUAAACAAGUGAAAAUUCAUGUUAAACCAUUUUGUGUGACUACAUAUCAUAUUGCAGUAGUGUAAAGGAGAACAGAAUUGGGUGGAAUUAAUCGGGGAAAACUUUUUGAAAAAGCAUCAUUAAUCCAGAUUUGAAGAAGACCAGACUCUGGCCAAGUGGAAGGGUGAGCAUUUUCUUGGCCUAUAUCUCUUGUCCUUUUUCUUAGUUUGAAAAGUAUUUUAAGAUUUAUUGGUAUAUUAUUUUGUACUCUGACAACUGAGGUCUGAUUACAAUUAAUAAAAUUCUAUGAAAGAAUCUGCUGACAUGAAAGGGAAAAUCUUUGUCAAAUGAUACCAAAUAGGUGAACAAAGUAGGAAGUAGGGCUUACAAUGAUAAAUGCUUUGCCCCACAAAAGUUGCCUCUUUGAUAAUGUGUCCCCAUAUGCUCCUAAAGCAGCACUGUGUUCAGACAUUCAGACUGAGCUACAAGAAGUAUCUUCCACUUGCAGCAUGUGAGUUGAGGAAGUUAAAGUUGAGCGUGAGAACUGAGCUUGGUCUUUUAACAGAUCACGAGACAGAUCUACUGCAGUCCUGGUUACCAUUCUCUACAGAGCUUUGAAGCUCGGAACCUUUCCAGGGUAGACGUUUUCUCUUGUGCUGCUGGGGUUAUCUGGGGCCUAGGUCCUGGGUUCCUGUCUUCAAGGAGCAACUACCUUAAGCUCUCAACCAUACUCUGUUCUCACCAGCAGCUUCCAUGUUUCUCUGUAUUGAGUAAUUAAACACCUAGUCCUUGUUUUCCAUCUUUCUCCUAAGCUACCUCUGUGGGUCCACAGAAGACUUGGUAGUACAGUGAGAAUGGCUACACAUGAGUACAGAUGUGGAUUUGCCAGAGCCUGGGAACUGACUCUUGAGCCCAAAAGAGCCCUGAGUAGUUCAAGGUCUUUUGGACUGGAGCUGGAGCCCUGGAAGAUCCAGGAAGUCACUUCAGGCCACUGUGAACUCUUGGUCUUCUAAGUGUCUGAGCGUGCUGUUCUUUAAUGAAAAAUAUGUGCUUCCCUCAUACACUCAAGAACAUUAACAACUGUGUACCCAACUUUUUCACUAAGUGAGGCAUUCCAUGGGGUUCACCUUUUUCUGAUCAUUGAGCCGCACUUCAGGCAAUAAAGGUUUUUAAUCAUUUUUAAGAAACUCUUUAGACUGUAUGCAAGUUUGCCUGCCUUCUUAAAUAGAAAUUAUUUAUUGAGUAUAAUGUUAAGAUUUUAUUAAUGACUUGAGGUCAUCAGUUAAACCAUACAAGUUAUUCGUUUAUCCCAGAAAAAAGGUGGUUGUUCUAUUCUUAGGUAGAUAGUGAUUCAGGAUCAAAGUCUUAGCAGAGAGCUCAGACCUGUUUAGGUAGUAGAGCUUGGGGAAUGCCAUGAAAUACUUGCAUAAUUAAUUUGAUUACAUGAACUAUGCAGUUUACUAAUGAAUAUGUCGUAUAUGUGCAGAUCAGUUUUUUAAAACAGAAAAAAACUUAAAUAGAGGAGCUCCUACCCAUUAACUUCUUUUUCUGGGUGGAAAAAAAACAACAACUGCAACAACAACAACCAAACACCUCAUUUUCUUGUAGCAUUUGAACAUCUUGGUCUCUUGCUUCAUAGGGUCAGGCUUUGAGAACCACUCUUAUUAGGAUAAUGAGCAGAUCAGUCACAUUUGUAUAGAAAUGGCCUCAUCGUGUAAAAAAGGAAAUGUUGUCUGUUGUCUCUUCAGCUUGAUUGUGGGCACUUCUGGAGCAAGGACCAUGCCAUACUCAUCUUUGCAUCCCUGGCACAGUGCAUGAGACAUCAUAAAUACUUAAUAAACAUGGUUGAAUGGAUGAUGAAUACUGGUAUUUAUGGAUUAGAAAAGCAUGUUUCUAUUUAAGUAAGCUAUGAAUAGUAUUAUUGAAUAUUUACUGUAAAUAUGUUAACAAAAAAAUAACUUGGAAGGUCUUUGUGUCCCUAGUAUAUUAUCAUCUUUAUGAAAAUAAUCCAUUUUGGUUCCUGUAGAGCAAUUAGAAAAAUGAAUUACUUUGAGGAUUUGAAGAAAAUGUACUUUCUGUGUUGUCACGUUCAACAGUACAACUUUAUUUUCAGUGUUCCUACUCUACGUUGUUUACAUUUUCAGCAGUUUUUUUAACUCACCUACAAUAUGUAAAGAACGUAUAUAUUCUUUUCAUCUCAGUUUGAAAAGACAUGCGUUAAACUUGACCUUUUGAUGAUCGCUCUUAUAAGGUCAUUGUCUUCUAACAGCAAAUUUUAAACAAGUACUUCAUGGAUACAUGGCUUUCAGUCAUCAGUUUGUCCUAUGGUAUUUAUUGAAUGUCCACAUACUAAUUGAUGGUGCACAGGUAUUUUUUUCUACAGAUCUUUCGACUGUGCUGUAAUUCAUUCUUAGUAUUCAAGUUGAAGAUACCAUAGUUGCUGGCAUUUGAUGUUUAGCAAUAAAAGAAUAAAUGUGUACCAGCACUCUAUCUUUUAUCAUA